AUUGAACGCUGGCGGCAGGCCUAACACAUGCAAGUCGAACGAGUGGCGGACGGGUGAGUAAUGUCUGGGAAACUGCCUGAUGGAGGGGGAUAACUACUGGAAACGGUAGCUAAUACCGCAUACCAUCCGAUGGGCCCAGAUGGGUUUAGCUAGUGGGUGGGGUAACGGCUCACCUAGGCGACGAUGCCUAGCUGGUCUGAGAGGAUGACCAGCCACACUGGGACUGAGACACGGUCCAGACUCCUACGGGAGGCAGCAGUGGGGAAUAUUGCGCAAUGGGCGAAAGCCUGACGGAGCAAUGCCGCGUGUAUGAAGAAGGUUUUCGGGUUGUAAAGCACUGUCAUCGGGGAGGCGGUACCCGAAGAAGAAGCACCGGCUAACUCCGUGCCAGCCGCCGCGGUAAUAC
rnacentral:rRNA from 1 species